rnacentral:rRNA from 1 species
UUAAUACCUGAUAGUAUGGUGAGAUUGCAUGAUAGCACCAUUAAAGAUUUAUUGGUAAACGAUGGGGAUGCGUUCCAUUAGGUAGUAGGCGGGGUAACGGCCCACCUAGCCGACGAUGGAUAGGGGUUCUGAGAGGAAGGUCCCCCACAUUGGAACUGAGACACGGUCCAAACUCCUACGGGAGGCAGCAGUGAGGAAUAUUGGUCAAUGGGCGAGAGCCUGAACCAGCCAAGUAGCGUGAAGGAUGAAGGUCCUACGGAUUGUAAACUUCUUUUAUACGGGAAUAAAGUAUCCUACGUGUAGGAUUUUGUAUGUACCGUAUGAAUAAGCAUCGGCUAACUCCGUGCCAGCAGCCGCGGUAAUACGGAGGAUGCGAGCGUUAUCCGGAUUUAUUGGGUUUAAAGGGAGCGCAGACGGGAGAUUAAGUCAGUUGUGAAAGUUUGCGGCUCAACCGUAAAAUUGCAGUUGAUACUGGUUUCCUUGAGUGCAGUUGAGGCAGGCGGAAUUCGUGGUGUAGCGGUGAAAUGCUUAGAUAUCACGAAGAACCCCGAUUGCGAAGGCAGCUUGCUAAACUGUAACUGACGUUCAUGCUCGAAAGUGUGGGUAUCAAACAGGAUUAGAUAC